AUUGAACGCUGGCGGCAUGCCUAACACAUGCAAGUCGAGCGAGCGGCUGACGGGUGGGUAAUUUCUGGGAAACUGCCUGAUUGUGGGGGUUGACUAAUGGAAACGGUAGCUGAUACCGCAUACCAUCUGAUGUUCCCGGAUGGGAUUGGCUAGUGGGUGGGGUAACGGCUCACCUAGGAGACGAUCCCUAGCUGGUCUGAGAGGAUGACCAGCCACACUGGAACUGAGACACGGCCCAGACUCCUACGGGAGGCAGCAGUGGGGAAUAUUGCACAAGGGGCGCAAGCCUGAUGCAGCCAUGCCGCGUGUGUGAAGAAGGCCUUCGGGUUGUAAAGCACUUUCAGCGGGGAGGCGUUACCCGCAGAAGAAGCACCGGCUAACUCCGUGCCAGCAGCCGCGGUAAUAC
rnacentral:rRNA from 1 species